rnacentral:rRNA from 1 species
GUGGGGAAUUUUGGACAAUGGGGGCAACCCUGAUCCAGCCAUUCCGCGUGAGUGAAGAAGGCCUUCGGGUUGUAAAGCUCUUUCGUCAGGAACGAAACGGCGGGCUCUAACAUAGCCUGUUAAUGACGGUACCUGAAGAAGAAGCACCGGCUAACUACGUGCCAGCAGCCGCGGUAAUACGUAGGGUGCGAGCGUUAAUCGGAAUUACUGGGCGUAAAGCGUGCGCAGGCGGAUUGUUAAGCAAGACGUGAAAUCCCCGGGCUUAACCUGGGAAUGGCGUUUUGAACUGGCAGUCUAGAGUGCGUCAGAGGGGGGUGGAAUUCCACGUGUAGCAGUGAAAUGCGUAGAGAUGUGGAGGAACACCGAUGGCGAAGGCAGCCCCCUGGGAUGACACUGACGCUCAUGUACGAAAGCGUGGGUAGCAAACAGGAUUAGAAACCCUGGUAGUCC